CCUACGGGAGGCAGCAGUAAGGAAUCUUGCGCAAUGGGCGAAAGCCUGACGCAGCGACGCCGCGUGGGCGAUGAAGGCCUUCGGGUUGUAAAGCCCUUUUCUGGGGGACGAGGAAGGACGGUACCCCAGGAAUAAGUCACGGCUAACUACGUGCCAGCAGCCGCGGUAAAACGUAGGAUCCGAGCGUUAUCCGAAUUUACUGGGCGUAAAGCGCGUGCAGGCGGUUCGGUAAGUUGGGUGUGAAAUCUCCCGGCUCAACUGGGAGAGGUCGCUCAAUACUGUCGGACUAGAGGAUGGUAGAGGGAGGGGGAAUUCCCGGUGUAGGGGGGAAAUGCGUAGAUAUCGGGAGGAACACCAGUGGCGAAGGCGGCCCCCUGGA
rnacentral:rRNA from 1 species